AUACGGAGGGUGCAAGCGUUAUUCGGAAUCACUGGGCGUAAAGGACGCGUAGGCGGGUUGGCAAGUCAGAUGUGAAAUCCUACAGCUUAACUGUAGAACUGCAUUUGAAACUGCUAACCUAGAGUAUGGGAGGGGGAGAUGGAAUUAGUGGUGUAGGGGUAAAAUCCGUAGAUAUUACUAGGAAUACCGAAAGCGAAGGCGAUCUCCUGGAACAUAACUGACGCUAAGGCGUGAAAGCGUGGGGAGCAAACAGGAUUAGAAACCCUGGUAGUCC
rnacentral:rRNA from 1 species